AUUGAACGCUGGCGGCAUGCCUUACACAUGCAAGUCGAACGGCAGCACGGGUGCUUGCACCUGGUGGCGAGUGGCGAACGGGUGAGUAAUACAUCGGAACAUGUCCUGUAGUGGGGGAUAGCCCGGCGAAAGCCGGAUUAAUACCGCAUACGAUCUACGGAUGAAAGCGGGGGCCCUUCGGGCCUCGCGCUAUAGGGUUGGCCGAUGGCUGAUUAGCUAGUUGGUGGGGUAAAGGCCUACCAAGGCGACGAUCAGUAGCCGGUCUGAGAGGACGACCAGCCACACUGGAACUGAGACACGGCCCAGACUCCUACGGGAGGCAGCAGUGGGGAAUUUUGGACAAUGGGCGAAAGCCUGAUCCAGCAAUGCCGCGUGUGUGAAGAAGGCCUUCGGGUUGUAAAGCACUUUUGUCCGGAAAGAAAUACUUGGCCCUAAUACGGUCGGGGGAUGACGGUACCGGAAGAAUAAGCCCCGGCUAACUACGUG
rnacentral:rRNA from 1 species